rnacentral:misc_RNA from 1 species
CCUCCCACAAUUUUUCUUUCGACCACAAGGUUUCUCGCAUGUGAAUUUUUCAUUCUCUGCAAUUGUUUUGAAGCACUCCACAGUUCGAGAGGUUGAUCCACAUUGGCAUUUUUGGGUGACAAGAACCAGACAUGGUGGACAAUCCCCAGCAUGGCAGAUCUCCUUACAGUGGUGUAUUCCACAUGGAAGGGGUUUGCCACAAAUUUGCGUACAAUUUGGAAUUGGAUCCAAACAACUCUUUCUUUCCACCUGUAAACUCGUUUUCCCACAAUAGCAUGACUCCACCCUGCCUGGCAACAAGUCACAAUCCCCACAAGGGCCUGGAUGGCAAGUUUCACCACAUUCAUGAUUUCCACAACACAACAUCUUUUUGCAUGUCAAGUUGCAAGAAAAAACACCAUCUUCAGCUUUCACCUCGCCUUUUACAGCGAUGUCUCCACAGAGGAUAGUCUCCACUUUUUUCCUGCAAAAACAUGAAGCAUAGACUAGAACCUGACAAGGAUCACAAGGACCCACAUGGCAUAUCUUCUCACAUUGGUGACGCCCACAUUCAAGAAGCUUAUCACA